AGUGAACGCUGGCGGUAGGCCUAACACAUGCAAGUCGAACGGCAGCACAGUAAGAGCUUGCUCUUACGGGUGGCGAGUGGCGGACGGGUGAGGAAUACAUCGGAAUCUACUUUUUCGUGGGGGAUAACGUAGGGAAACUUACGCUAAUACCGCAUACGACCUACGGGUGAAAGCAGGGGAUCUUCGGACCUUGCGCGAUUGAAUGAGCCGAUGUCGGAUUAGCUAGUUGGCGGGGUAAAGGCCCACCAAGGCGACGAUCCGUAGCUGGUCUGAGAGGAUGAUCAGCCACACUGGAACUGAGACACGCUCCAGACUCCUACGGGAGGCAGCAGUGGGGAAUAUUGGACAAUGGUCGCAAGCCUGAUCCAGCCAUACCGCGUGGGUGAAGAAGGCCUUCGGGUUGUAAAGCCCUUUUGUUGGGAAAGAAAAGCAGCAGGUUAAUACCCCGCUGUUCUGACGGUACCCAAAGAAUAAGCACCGGCUAACUUCGUG
rnacentral:rRNA from 1 species